CCUACGGGACGCACCAGUGGGGAAUCUUGGACAAUGGGCGAAAGUCCGAUCCAGCAAUAUCGCGUGAGUGAAGAAGGGCAAUGCCGCUUGUAAAGCUCUUUAGUCGAGUGCGCGAUCAUGACAGGACUCGAGGAAGAAGCCCCGGCUAACUUCGUGCCAGCAGCCGCGGUAAUGCGAAGGGGGCUAGCGUUGCUCGGAAUGACUGGGCGUAAAGGGCGCGUAGGCGGUUUAUGCAGUCAGAUGUGAAAUCCCCGGGCUUAACCUGGGAACUGCAUUUGAGACGCAUAGACUAGAGGUCGAGAGAGGGUUGUGGAAUUCCCAGUGUAGAGGUGAAAUUCGUAGAUAUUGGGAAGAACACCGGUGGCGAAGGCGGCAACCUGGCUCGAUACUGACGCUGAGGCGCGAAAGCGUGGGGAGCAAACAGGAUUAGAUACCCCAGUAGUC
rnacentral:rRNA from 1 species